AGGAGACAUGUUUGAGGCAGUUCCAGCUGCAGACGCAGUUUUACUCAAGGUUUUUACUAACUUUAUUCUUAUUUUCUCCUUGUAAUUCUUUUUAAUUUUUUGCUAAUAAUAAAUUAAUAUUUUUUUAUAAGUCAUGAAAUUGUGCAUUUCAUAAAAAGAAAGGUUACUAAAUUCCAUAAUUCUUCAAAGCAAGAUAAAAAAAAUCCCUAUCGGGAGUACCUUGCUCACUCUCUUUGUGCAAAAACAAAAUAUACUUCUUCACAAAAUAUUCUUUAAACAAUUUCAAUUCAAAAUCUCAUAAAAAAAAAAACUCAGCAAACAUGCUUAACAGUUAUCUCAAUCCCAAACACAACAAAACCGUGAACAACUAUAAAACUCAUCAAAUAUGCUUUAGUUGUUUCUUCUCCCUGAACCUAUCAUCUUAAUCAAUCCGAUCCAACUCAUAAAAACGAACAUUUCCUUUGCAGCACACAUUUCAGAGCAAGUCAUCACAAAAAAACACUCAGUUACCACAUUCAACAUGCUGAUUGUAAUCAUCAUAAAAAAGCAAAAUUACUUGUUUAUCGUUUUUGAAAACCUUAAAAAUCACCAUGCAAAUAAAAUAAAAUAAAAUAAAAAAUCCCGAAUCCAUUCUCGUCCUUUUCCUGAACAAAACCACACCUCUAAACUGCAGGAAUCUCUAAAAGUUGAAUCUCAAUUUACCAAUCAAUGCAGAGCUCACACACUUCCAACCUACAACGACUCAACAAAUCGAUAUCCUAAAUCCUAAAGACCCCAAAAGGCAUAUGGACACAAAUAACGCAACAGCUGACCAAAGUAAACCCUUUAAUAGUUUUAACAAUAGUAAAUUCAAGGAAGCUGCGUAAGAAUGCUCCAUCGACCAACCAAACCGAACCUCAGGACUUUCGAUAACUAGAAUCAUUCGACAAAGACAAGUACCAAUGCUUGUCUUUGCAGAAUAAUCCCCGUGUUUUAAUUCCACCUCACCCAUGCUUCAACACAAGCUAUCUCCUAAAAAUCACCCCAACAAAAACUUGUUUCAGGCGAUCCCCAACCAUUCAUCCCCAUGCUCCAUAAAUCAAAAAGUUUUCAACAAUCUCUUAGCCAUUCAAAAUAAAAUUUGACAAUAAAUCCAAAAGACAACAGUCAAAUAAGCCUCAACAUAAUCACCCAAACCUUGCUUUCAAUACGAAUAAAACCCAAGCCCGUGCUGCCAUUUGCCUGUGUGACGCCUUACCAUCGCGAGUUCCAUGCAACCCAAAACCAUAUGCUAAUUCUAUAACCCUCAAAUUUCAGUCUCCUCGCCAUUAUCUCUUUAUAGAUCUCUGGAUUUAUUUCUUAUGAUACCUUGCUGCUGCCCUUACCCCUUCCAACGUAGUAAAUCUCUCCAACAACAUCUGCUCACUUCCAACUACCUUUAAUCCUAGUGCUUUCCCAAGGUUCCAAGUUUCCUUGGCUUCAGCCUUGAUGAUGCUAUUUCUAUUUCUAACAUCACUGUCCGACAAGGAUAUGUUUGUUGCCCUUUCCUCCUUUCCUCCAGAUUUCUUUUUGAUUUUCUUCUUUCCCCCUUUCUUCUUCCCUUUCCCUUAUCUAUUCCUCCCUCCACCUAUUUUUACCUCAAUAUCACUUAACGAACCAACUCUUCGAUUUCUUGGUUUCCCAAACCAUGGAAAUUCGUCCACUUCCUCUGAUGCUCACAAAUUAAUUGCAAGGUUUAGGGUGCUUAGAAAACCAAAUUAAACUGUUCUCUUAAAAUUUGGAGAUUAAAUUUGGUACAAAAUUAUUACUUGGCCAAGUAAAGGCUAGUCUAUAUUUACUAAUGUAUUGGAUUAGCAAGAUUUUCAUACAUGAAUUUGACGAUAAUGAUCUUAUAAGUUUCUAAAUAUUGUUUAGUAUGUACGUGAUCAUAGGUAACACAUUAUAACACACUAUGUGAGUUAUUUUUCUGUCAUGGCAGCACGUGGUUGGGAGAUGAAUUUUGGGUUGUUGGGCUCAUUUCUUGAAUUUUGCCUUAUUUUUGACUUGUGGACUGUGAGUAUUUACCUUUUUGUUUGAGUUGUAGGAUGUAUUUAGGGCAAGAAAUUAUCUGACAUAUCUCUAAUUUUUUGUCGAGUGCUCAAUUAGCCCAAAUAAUAGAGAAAUUAACCAUCCCCUUCAUAUAGUCAAAAUGAAACCAGGUGAUAUAGCAUAUACCUCAAAAACCCCCAGCUGGACAUGUAUAAAGAAGAACCAAAAGAAUUUAAACUCGUUUUAUAGAAAAUUAGGUCAAGAUUUAAUAAAAUAAAACUCAUCUCCACUUAUCUUGUUGUCCUUCUAAUGGUUAAUAAUCUAAUUCUUCCCUAUAAAUAUUGUCACAGGAGUAGAAUAGAGAGAUUUGUAAAUUAAAUGAAGUAGCUCAAACUGAUUAAACUCGAUGAGGUCAUCACUUAUUUAUGAUAAUUAAACAGUGGAUAUUGCACGAUUGGAAUGAUGAAGAAUGCGUGAAGAUUUUGAAGCGCUGUAAAGAGGCAAUUUCACGAGGUGGCAAGGGAGGGAAGGCAAUUAUAAUAGACAUGGUAUUGACGGAGAAGAACCACAAAGUGAAUGAUGCAUCCAUUGAAACGCAACUCUUCUUUGACAUGUUGAUGAUGGUGUUGGUGACUGGAAAAGAGAGGAACGAGGAAGAGUGGGCUACGCUGUUUUUGGCAGCUGGUUUUAGUGACUAUAAAAUCACUCCGAUAAUGGGUUUAAGAUCUCUCAUUGAGGUAUACCCUUAAGAGAGUCUUGCUUUAUUCUUAUAAGAAUAAUAAAACUACUAUUAUUAACUUUCAUGUUAUUGUUACAGUUGUUGGUUUGUACUUGUCUCUACUUCUAUUGUCUUAUAGUACUAGAAAAGACUGAACUCAUCGAUUAAGAAAUAAAACAUUACUUCACUUGAAUCAGAUUUAUUGUCCCGUUUACAUUGGAAUUGUUGGUGUUGAUCUUACUAACUAAAAAUUCUUUCAAUUUCUUAAUUCAAAGGGCUCAACCAAUCGGGUUUCUUGUCAAAUAAAGAACAUAAUUCAUGCGAACCUCGAUUAGUAAUAGUAGUUGAAAUGGAUGAAUUAGCUGAAUUAAUUGCCCCUUUCUCUCACAUUUUUAGAAGCAUAGGUAAUUUAUCAUUAUUGAACAUUGAAAGGAACCUCUUAGCCGAAGCUAAGCAAGUAUACAGCUAACAACGACACAUUCAGUUGUUAGUCCAACAACUCCGUUGUCUCGCCUGAGGUUCGCAUUGUUUUAUUGAGCCAAGGCGAGUUUCUUAAUCGAUAAUAUCUCAUGUUCAAGAAAGGAACCACUCACAAACUAUAACAACCCACAAAAACAACAGCCUCAUUCAACGCAAGACCUUUGUAUAAAAAAAUCGAACCUUUCCCCAAAUUAUUCCCAUGGAAAUCUUGUACAAAAAGUCGCAAUUAAGCAAUUAAUAGUCCAGUAAAAUCCGCAUCCAUUUAGAAAAAUAUCAAGCAAUAAUGCUUAAACCCAAAAACUGAAACUACAACCCAACAAUCACAACCUUUCUAAUUGCACCACCUCAUUUGAAGCAAGACACAAACAACUUAAAAACCUUUAAAUUACCUGAAGACAUCGCUUCAUUUCAGUUGGGCCGUCCAAUUUCUUUAAUUUUCGAUGAUCACCUCCUCACUAGAAUUUAGAAUCAUCAUCGGAUAAAGAUUCGUUCACCACUCUUUAGUUGUCUUCUUCAAUUACCAGAUUCUUCGAUUUUUUCCAACUCGACCCUUAUGCUUCAACAUUGACGCUUUUCCUUUCCUCGAUUACUGCUCAAUUUCAUUCAAGAGGCUAGAUUUUCAAUUACUCAUCUUU
rnacentral:lncRNA from 1 species